UCGGGCGGACAUAGAGUGGCGAACGGGUGAGUAACACGUGACCAACCUGCCCCGCGCUCCGGGACAACCGCUGGAAACGGCGGCUAAUACCGGAUACUCCGGGAGGGCCCCAUGGCCCUGCCGGGAAAGCCGAGACGGCGCGGGAUGGGGUCGCGGCCCAUUAGGUAGACGGCGGGGUAACGGCCCACCGUGCCCGCGAUGGGUAGCCGGACUGAGAGGUCGACCGGCCACAUUGGGACUGAGAUACGGCCCAGACUCCUACGGGAGGCAGCAGUGGGGAAUUUUGCGCAAUGGGGGAAACCCUGACGCAGCAACGCCGCGUGCGGGACGAAGGCCCUCGGGUUGUAAACCGCUUUCAGCAGGGAAGAUCCAAGACGGUACCUGCAGAAGAAGCUCCGGCUAACUACGUGCCAGCAGCCGCGGUAAUACGUAGGGGGCGAGCGUUAUCCGGAUUCAUUGGGCGUAAAGCGCGCGUAGGCGGCCGCCUAAGCGGGACCUCUAACCCCGGGGCUCAACCCCGGGCCGGGUCCCGGACUGGGCGGCUCGAGUGCGGUAGAGGAGAGCGGAAUUCCCGGUGUAGCGGUGGAAUGCGCAGAUAUCGGGAAGAACACCGAUGGCGAAGGCAGCUUUCUGGGCCGUCACUGACGCUGAGGCGCGAAAGCUGGGGGAGCGAACAGGAUUAGAUACCCUGGUAGUCCCAGCCGUAAACGAUGGGCGCUAGGUGUGGGGGGACGAUCCCUCCGUGCCGCAGCCAACGCAUUAAGCGCCCCGCCUGGGGAGUACGGCCGCAAGGCUAAAACUCAAAGGAAUUGACGGGGGCCCGCACAAGCAGCGGAGCAUGUGGCUUAAUUCGAAGCAACGCGAAGAACCUUACCAGGGCUUGACAUGCCGAUGAAGCCGGGGAGACCCGGUGGCCGAGAGGAGUCGGCGCAGGUGGUGCAUGGCUGUCGUCAGCUCGUGUCGUGAGAUGUUGGGUUAAGUCCCGCAACGAGCGCAACCCCCGCCCCGUGUUGCCAGCAUUCAGUUGGGGACUCGCGGGGGACUGCCGGCGUCAAGCCGGAGGAAGGUGGGGANGACGUCAAGUCAUCAUGCCCCUUAUGCCCUGGGCUGCACACGUGCUACAAUGGCCGGUACAGAGGGUUGCCACCCCGCGAGGGGGAGCGGAUCCCGGAAAGCCGGUCCCAGUUCGGAUCGCAGGCUGCAACCCGCCUGCGUGAAGCCGGAGUUGCUAGU
rnacentral:rRNA from 1 species